rnacentral:rRNA from 1 species
UAGGGAAUCUUCGGCAAUGGACGAAAGUCUGACCGAGCAACGCCGCGUGAGUGAAGAAGGUUUUCGGAUCGUAAAACUCUGUUGUUAGAGAAGAACAAGGACGUUAGUAACUGAACGUCCCCUGACGGUAUCUAACCAGAAAGCCACGGCUAACUACGUGCCAGCAGCCGCGGUAAUACGUAGGUGGCAAGCGUUGUCCGGAUUUAUUGGGCGUAAAGCGAGCGCAGGCGGUUUCUUAAGUCUGAUGUGAAAGCCCCCGGCUCAACCGGGGAGGGUCAUUGGAAACUGGGGGACUUGAGUGCAGAAGAGGAGAGUGGAAUUCCGUGUGUAGCGGUGAAAUGCGUAGAUAUAUGGAGGAACACCGGUGGCGAAGGCGGCUCUCUGGUCUGUAACUGACGCUGAGGCUCGAAGGCGUGGGGAGCAAACAGG